GGGGCUGUAAUGGUUUCGACGUGUUGGUGAACGCUGCCCCGUGAUACAGGCCGAGAGUGAGUCUUCUCUCGUAAAUCCCGGGCUCAAAACAAAAAGUAACUGCGAACAACAUCGUUCCUUUUGCUCGUAAGGCAGCUGCUGUUGCCUAAAAACCCCUAAACAAGGUUCGAGCGUCUGUAGUUUGACUCCGUUAAGGAUUACAGACAAACCCCAACGGAUGCGCUAGUUAAGUUGUCUCUGGUAGACUUGCUAGCAAAGACCUCAUCAGAGCAUCCUGUCAUCCGGGAUAAUGGAUGGUUCCCGCCCUGAGGAUCAGAUGGGCUAAGCCUGUGAAUGAGCGAUAGGUUAAUAGCCAGGGCGGACGGCAGUUCAAUUCUGCCCAGCUCCACUU
rnacentral:tmRNA from 1 species